rnacentral:lncRNA from 1 species
UUAUGAGAAAUAAAUGAUAAAAUAACUUAACUUUUAUACAACAAUCCACUGAUAGUAUAAAUCAUAAGCCACUAAGACUUAGACGUACAAAACUGAAAUAAAAUAAUUAUAACAUCUAUUUGGAAUAUACAUGAACAAAAUUCGAAUUUGAAGCUGCCAAGGACAAAUGAUAGCAUCAAUGCCAGUUUCCGCCAUACGCAACAGCAUCAACUUCAAGAUCUGCAUCCAAGGUGCAGAAGUGUAGUAUUAGUAUAAUCUACACCAUCAAUAAAUAUCCUAUCUAACUUCAACGAGGUAAUAGCAGCAAGAAUUAUAAAUGAUACUCACCAGUCAACUGUACAAGUUUUUAAAUCUAACAGGUAUAGAAUAGAUAUAUGAUCAAAUCAAGAAAACACAGGAAAAACCAUCUUGGUGCUCACAAUUUUUUUAUUUUAAAGGUUCUACUAAGUCAACAGUCCAGCAUAUAAGGAAGGUAUGCAAAGAAAUCAUGCAAACAAUCAAGAAAACUUCAAGCAAAGAUGAAAUAUAAUAACCAAAUAUCAGUACGUUGCGACGCACAACCCGAUCCAAAAAACAAUAAUCAGUCUCCCAGAGCUCACAUCAACCAGAAACCUAUCUACAAUCGGCAUGUUAAACCAUCAAGAGAGAAAUAUGAGAGGGUGCCCCUAGGGGGAUGAAUCCGUAUUCACACAUGAGCAUGGCCAACUCAACGUACUAUAUCUCGGCGUGGUCACAUGCUCAAUAUCAUAAUAUACUUGGCAUAGUCACGGGCCCAAUAUUAACCGAACGGACAACUCACGUGUUGCACGGAUGUCACAAUCCAAAAACCCACGGCAUGUGUUGUGAUGGCACCUAAUCUCUAUGACUAGGUAAGACGAUUAUUAACAAUGAUUAAGCUAAUUUUAACAAUGAUUAUUUUAAUAUAGUUUAGAAUAAAUACCGAAACAAAACAAGAAUAAACCUACGCGACAAUGAUCAUAAUAACCUCCCAAGAUUUGGUAAUACAAAGUCAUGAACUUUAGUUGAAUACAUGGAAUGAUCUGAAGGAUCAAAAUAAAAUACUAUUCAAAUAAUAACUGACUUUGCAAUAUAAGGAAAGGACUCCAAGGGAUUGCGAUGACCAAGCAGCUCUACCUUGAAUCCUCGCGAUCAACGAGCUGACUCCACCCGAGUUUGAUAUCUCCAAUACCUGGCUAUGCUAAAGAAAUUUACAGAAGUGUACUAUGAUUACACCACAGUCGAUACCCAACAAGUGUCACACCUCAUUUUUACACUACAUCCUGCGAAGGGCGUAGAAGGGAGUUUUUUCCAAUUAAAGGACAAUCGAAACGAGAUUUAUUUAUUAAGAAAUUCAGAGUCCCCACUGAAGAAAAUAAAUAGUGUCCCAAGUCACCGGUUUAAAUCCCGAGUCGAGGAAAAGGUUGACACUGUAAUACAGUCUGCAAUUCAGAAAUCCUGGUAAGGAAUUCUGUUAACUCGGAAGAAGGUGUUAGGCACUCCCGAGUUACAUGGUUCUAGCACGGUCGCUUUGAUCAUACUUGGCUUGACUAAAUUUUCUAAUUACUCAUAUUAGAACCUAUGUGCUUUUGUCUCUUUUAAUUAAAAUUAUCUUGAAACGGCUCACGCGUAUGUGUACCCAUUUAUUUGGCGCGUCAAAAAUCAUGUCAUGCGAAUAUGUCCACAAUUAAUAAUGCUUUAUUAUUAUUACGAAACAUUUGACCAAUAUUGCGUGAACGCAUACUCCAAUAUUGUUUUUUCUAAAUCAUAAUCAUGUCACGCGAACGUGUCUACAAUCACAAUGAUAUACUAAACGGGCCUAGAGCAUCUAUGAGUAUUUGUCAUUUUUAUAUCUAAGUCACGAAGUUAAUACGAGGGCCCUGAAUGAUUAAAUUAUGGAUGACACACCUCAAACUAUAUAUAAUAAGAUUAGUUAAAGGGGAUUAACUUAAAGAAAAACUCGGAUGGCCAUGGAAUAUGCCUCAUCUAAUAUAGCUCACCUCCCAAUUAUUUGAAGGAACACAGCUAUCUAAUCAUCACGAUCCAAGACUAAAUUGUGGUGUAAACUAGCAGAAUUCAUCUUUGAGGGAAAGAAUUAAUGCUUUCAAAGUUAAAAUGGGCCCUCGACUAGGGAGCACUUAUUCCUUUUAAGCUACUUGUUUCGAGCUUAUGGCCCAAACCAGCCCUGAAACAUGAAUAUUAUUUAAGAGCUAAUGAGCUUUGGUCAAUUCCCAUCCCCAUAGUUCAGCACUUCUCACAAUCAUGAUUAUAUUAAGCAAGUCAGAUGUUAAAACCAACGAAACAUGGCAAAUAGACUAAGUAGAAGGAUAACCACACAUCCACAGUACACGAGAUUGGAAAACCACAGAAACGGCUAUUAUGGAAGGCAGUACCAAAGCAAUGGGCUAACCCAAAGAUGAUCUUUGUAAGUGAAUCAAACUGGUAGCCGGCAUUCAUUUUAAAUCAAAAUCUUGAUGUCAAAGUUGAUAGUGUUCAAAUAACCUGGACAAGCUGAAUCAUUUCAACAUGAUCAAUGCUAAAUUGAACUUGCCUUAUAAUGGAAAUUUAUGGCAGACUAACUUCCAGUUUUCAAUGAAUGCCAAAGAGACACAUCAGAGGACGUCCAAAGUGCAGUCAAGUGCAAAUAUUAAAGCAGAACAUGCCCAGGGCAAAUGAUAUUAUCUAAGGUCAAGCGUACAUGCCCAGCUACUCCUACUUAUGACUAUCUACUAAAACAACAGGCCAAUAAAACAACAGCUAAUACACUCACAUGAUAUUCAAGUUUUUUUUUUAAAAAAAAACUUAUACUAACAUUUCAAAAAUAGUAGCAGGCCUUCGAAACACUUGAAAGAUCCAAGCUAUCAUAGGAUUAAUCUUUCAUAGUCUCCAGGCUUCAUGAGUGAUAAAAUCAAUUACAACAUCAUAUAUAAAAUUACCAGAGAGCAUUAUUAGACCACACAUCUACAAAGCAGGAGUCAUAUGACUUCACUAAUCAGAACAAACUAUCACCACCUCUACUCAAAAAAGUACACAUGUUGUGCUCAUUGAAUGCAUAAGGAAUUAAAAAACUUAGUAUUCGAACUACAACUAAGGAUUACAUGAGGAAAUAACUCAAACAAAUAGCUCAAAACAUGGCAGUAUACAAGACUAAACAUCAGAAACUCCAAAACUUCCAUUCAUUCAUUUCAUUUUCCAUUCGCGCAUCAGAUUACAUAGUUCUGGGAGACGAGUACCUAGAUGUAGAAGAAACAAAGAAAAAUGAUAAAGGAUCAACGACUACUGAGCAACAAUUAGCAGUUUUCAACCAGUUUUGAACCCAGAAAGUUAAGUAAAUAGCCUAAAAACAGUUUCAAUCCAGGCAAAUGAACCAGAGAACAUUGACCUGACUUGAGUUUAACUCAUUUCCACUAUUACCUACCCAGAAAUUGUUUCAGAUUAAGAGACAACUCAUAAAUCACCUCCAGAACUCCAUGAAACAGUACCCCUUUUUAGUUUUAUCGUUUUUAUUUUCAGGAUAUUUAGCUCUUCCUCCUUUAAGCUUAAGUUUUUUUAUGCCUUUUAUAAGCUAAACAUCAGGGCAAUCUUCAGAUUUUAAUUUUUAUCUAUUAGUCCUUUUUAAAUUACCCUUUUGCUACUUAGUCCCUGCUUUUUGUGACUGGUUAACCAAGUUAUAGAAUGAGAAUUGAGAACCAAUACCUGCUAGAAACUUCUAGGAGUUUAUUAAGUAUUUCGAUAAAGAUUCCUCAACCUAAAAUUUCCAAACUACCCCCUCAAAUGAACCUGAAUUACUAGAUAUACCAAAUGGGUACGGUCAAGUUGACCCAAGGUCCAAAUUCUAGAGUUGGGCUUGCCAAACCUAUUGAAUCCCCUCCUCUGGUCUCUGCUUAAUUGAGUUCAAAUUCAAAUCAUGCAACCUAAAUUUAAUGGGUCCAGCAGGAUUUCCAAAGGACACUCAGAACCCAUUUUUUUAAUUGAAACCCCGGGAAACAAAAUAACAACAAAGAAACAAAGAAAUUAAAACAUGCACUAUUAACUUUAAUUGCAAGUACGCAAACAGAAACGAUUAUAAGAACAAAAAAACGGAUAAUACAAAAGAUAUGAAGCGAGAGGACGAAGGCAGGUGCCUUGAAUGAAACAAAAGGAAGAAAGAAAUGAUGGAAAAAGAUGGAAAGAUGAGCAUACAUAAGCAACAGUUUGAAUAAAUCUCGAAAAUGAACCUCGAGCCUCUGAAUUUAAUCCUGUGUUCUUAAAUGAAAACACAAGAAUAAAGCCCGUUUGCAACCUCAGAUCUUCAAUAUGAAAUGAUUGGAUUUUUUGGGAUUUUAGGGUUCGUCCCUUUGAAUCAAGAUUCGAUGGAAUCUAGGGUGAUUCGAAGGAAACAAAGUAGGGAUUCGGAAUGGGGAGAUGAAGGGGGGUCUGUGGUGUUGAGCUGAGAUCGAUUGGAGGCAGCGCUACUAGCAAUCAACGGUUGAGGACUAAGGUGGCGUCUCUAGGGUUCCAAGGAGACGCAGGGUUUGGCAGAUGAGUGAAGGGGUGGGGGUGCUCGGACACAUUAGUACAAAACGUUCCACACUUCUCC